ensembl:lncRNA
CUCACACUAAUGAUUGGUUUUAAAGUAAUUGUAAGGCCAAUGCUUUCCAAAUAGUAUCUUCAAGUAAAAUGUUCUCUGAAAUAAAGACUAUGGAAAUUGAAAGACCUAAUAUAGCAUUUGAGCCCUGGUCUGCAAGCAAUAGCAUUUGAGCAUCAGGUCUGCUGGACAUCGAUUUUUCUCUAAUUUCCUCAUUUGAAAACACCAGUAUGAAAUGCCAAACAGAAGCAAUUUGCUGAAGUUCAAACAAAUUAAGGAAGUGAUAGCCUGUACCGUGAUUGAUCUCUUUUUAAAUAGGUACACAACAUAGCCAUCAUGACCUGAUUAUAACACCAAUAACAUAGAGAUUUAAUGACAUGAGUAAAUAGAGGGACAAUAAAAUUAUUUGUCAGACUAGAAAGGGGAUCAGUCCAAUCGUGAAGGGUGUUGUUGACAUCACAGCGCGUCGGUUCUGUGAAGGGGGUCAAUAACAUCCAAGGCUACAUAAGGCUACCAAACAGAAGGACACUACAUUCUCCCUGAGUCAUCUGCUUCACGCUGCUCCAGACCAGGGAUAACAUCAUGGCUUUCCUGGUCAGCUUGGGACAGACACUACUGCUGACAACCAUUCUCUUCCACCAUACAGCAUCCUUUCCUCAGUGGGACGGUAACCAGGCGGACCUGGAGGAGAUCAUCAGGAGUGAGAUCAGUCGUUCAAACAGUCAGUCCUUGUUUGCCAGGAACUAUGUGAACGCCCUGGUUGAGGCCAGACUGCGUGAUUCUCGGAGGUCAAAUCCCCAGACGAGGCAGCUGGGGGACAUUGAGUUCUCCAACAGGUAUGCGGAGUCCUUGAGGUCCAAAGCCAAACACACCUCAAUCUGCACCUUUCUCCGACGCAUGCAGAAUGUUUCGAAAAGCGGGUCAGGAGGAGAUGCGGAGAAGGUCAACCUGCUUCUGAAACAGUACAUGUGUCCCACUUCCUACCACUGGGUGGACUGAGUCAGAACUGGAGCACAGAAGGGCCAGAUUUUACUGGCCAUUUCAGAUAUUGUUUUAUGAAUGAUGUUUGAUUAAUAACGGAAAGUUUGUUAUUUGUAUGUCUCGGAUUAUAGUGUGCUUUGUGAUUAUUCAUUAUGUGGAUUACCACAAACCUUCUUUAUUCUUUACAAAAAGUUAAGCAUUUACAAGCAUUACAAGUAAUAAGAAUUGAUAACAUUUGUUUUACUUUUUUAGAGCAUUCACUAAUUCAUGAAAGUUAUUAUAUAAAAUAUCUGACUGUCAUGGAUGUUUCUUUAUAUGUUUCUGAUAAUAAUGUUAAAAUAUGAUGUUCCUG